GAUGAACGCUGGCGGCGUGCCUAAUACAUGCAAGUCGAGCGAAUGGAUUAAGAGCUUGCUCUUAUGAAGUUAGCGGCGGACGGGUGAGUAACACGCGGGUAACCUGCCCAUAAGACUGGGAUAACUCCGGGAAACCGGGGCUAAUACCGGAUAACAUUUUGAACCGCAUGGUUCGAAAUUGAAAGGCGGCUUCGGCUGUCACUUAUGGAUGGACCCGCGUCGCAUUAGCUAGUUGGUGAGGUAACGGCUCACCAAGGCAACGAUGCGUAGCCGACCUGAGAGGGUGAUCGGCCACACUGGGACUGAGACACGGCCCAGACUCCUACGGGAGGCAGCAGUAGGGAAUCUUCCGCAAUGGACGAAAGUCUGACGGAGCAACGCCGCGUGAGUGAUGAAGGCUUUCGGGUCGUAAAACUCUGUUGUUAGGGAAGAACAAGUGCUAGUUGAAUAAGCUGGCACCUUGACGGUACCUAACCAGAAAGCCACGGCUAACUACGUGCCAGCCGCCGCAGUAA
rnacentral:rRNA from 1 species